rnacentral:sRNA from 1 species
UUGACCUGCAAAUAAGAAUGAUUAUUAUUGCACUUAGCUGGUCGCGAGAUCAGUCGAUAAUUCAAGGAACCUUAGGUCGGUUUUUUGAAUUAGCUCCUCAUCAGGCUAAUCACGGUUAUUUGACCCGGCUUCUGGCCGGGUCUUUUUUUU